rnacentral:rRNA from 1 species
AUACGUAGGGGGCGAGCGUUGUCCGGAAUGAUUGGGCGUAAAGGGCGCGUAGGCGGCCCGGUAAGUCUGGAGUGAAAGUCCUGUUUUUAAGAUGGGAAUUGCUUUGGAUACUGUCGGGCUUGAGUGCAGGAGAGGUAAGUGGAAUUCCCAGUGUAGCGGUGAUAUGCGUAGAGAUUGGGAGGAACACCAGUGGCGAAGGCGACUUACUGGACUGUAACUGACGCUGAGGCGCGAAAGUGUGGGGAGCAAACAGGAUUAGAUACCCUGGUAGUCCACACUGUAAACGAUGAAUGCUAGGUGUAGGGGGUAUCGACUCCCUCUGUGCCGCAGUUAACACAAUAAGUAUUCCGCCUGGGGAGUACGGCCGCAAGGCUUAAACUCAAAUGAAUUGGCGGGG